rnacentral:rRNA from 1 species
GACGAACGCUGGCGGCGUGCUUAACACAUGCAAGUCGAACGGAAAGGCCCUGCUUUUGUGGGGUGCUCGAGUGGCGAACGGGUGAGUAACACGUGAGUAACCUGCCCUUGACUUUGGGAUAACUUCAGGUAACUGGGGCUAAUACCGGAUAGGAGCUCCUGCUGCAUGGUGGGGGUUGGAAAGUUUCGGCGGUCGGGGAUGGACUCGCGGCUUAUGAGCUUGUUGGUGGGGUAGUGGCUUACCGAGGCUUUGACGGGUAGCCGGCCUGAGAGGGUGACCGGCCACAAGGGGACUGAGGUAGGGCCCAGACGCCUACGGGGGGCAGUGGGGGGGAGUAUUGCACAAUGGGCGGAAGCCUGAUGCGGCAACGCUGCGUGCGGGAUGACGGCCUUCGGGUUGUAAACCGCUUUCGCCUGAGACGAAGCGUGAGUGACGGUAAUGGGUGAAGAAGCACCGGCUAACUACGUG